GCGGUAGCGGAGCGUUCUGUAAGCCUGCGAAGGGCGACCCGUGAGGGCGCCUGGAGGUAUCAGAAGUGCGAAUGCUGACAUGAGUAACGAUAAUGCAGGUGAAAAACCUGCACGCCGUAAGCCCAAGGUUUCCUGUUCAACGUUCAUCGGAGCAGGGUGAGUCGGCCCCUAAGGCGAGGCAGAGAUGCGUAGCUGAUGGGAAGCAGGUUAAUAUUCCUGCACCGUCGUAUGAUGCGAUGGGGGGACGGAUCGCGGAAGGUUGUCUAGCUGUUGGAAUAGCUAGUUUUUGACUCAUAGAAGGUGCUUAGGCAAAUCCGGGCACGUAAUUCAAGGGGUUG
rnacentral:rRNA from 1 species